UUUAUUUGUCUAUAUCCUAGAUUCGCAGCUAUACACAUCCUUCUACACUGUAUGCAAACAUGCAACAUCAUUACACACAGUUCAAGGAGUCAGACUGGCAUAUGAGGAGCAAAGGAACCCAGGCAGUAGCAUCGUUUCACAAUGUUUCCAUCAUCAUCAUCAGUGGAUGCCUUUGCCGUCCGUAGCCUGAGAUUUCAGAUUUGCAGCAAAAAAAAAUGAUUUUCUCAUUUAUUGGAAUGCUGUGCAGGUAUUUGUACCUUGCAGCCAUCCAUUACAAUGUCACCAAGCCGUAACAAAAGCAGGAGAGGGAAAGUACAAGGCUAUGUUCCCAAAACACAAAUGACAUACCUUAUGUGGAGGAUGUGAUCAGGCUUGUGUUUGAUGAGGUAUUUGAAGAUAAGCUGAAGGAAACCCCGAUUCCAAUGGACCUGGCAUCACAGUUUGAGAGACCUUCAAAGGAGGACGUGAUUGCAUGCCAUCUUCAGUGCAGGGGUCGUCGAAAGCCAAAAUUGUGACCGAUCUGAUCAGGAAGCUCCAAGCGUAUCUGGAGAACAACACACGACAGGAUGAUAACCCUAAAGUGUCAUCUUAGAUAGCACCAGCUGACAAAGCUUUGAUAUGCCAUUUAUCUGAAUAGAUAGCUGUAAGAAAUGAAUUGAACAAUUUUUGAAACAAGAGCACAAUAUGGUUACUAAAGUAUGUUUAUUUGUAUAUUGUUUAACAUUUAAAUAUAUAUUUGUAAUAAAUAAAUAAAACUUUUGACUGACUAUUAUAUUUUCUUUAAAGUUGCAUCUUUUGUUCUUUUGGGUACU